UACGUAGGAUGCAAGCGUUGUUCGGAAUUACUGGGCGUAAAGAGUACGUAGGCGGUUUGUUAAGUCUGAUAUUAAAGACUGGGGCUCAACCUCAGGAAUGUAUCGGAAACUGGCAGACUAGAGGACAAUAGAGGAAGUCGGAAUUCUCAGUGUAGCGGUGAAAUGCGUAGAUAUUGGGAAGAACACCAGUGGCGAAAGCGGACUUCUGGGUUGUUACUGACGCUGAGGUACGAAAGCGUGGGGAGCAAACGGG
rnacentral:rRNA from 1 species